AUGGUUAUAUCACAUUGAAACAUCGGUUCUCGUACGAUCAACGAAGUUAAACCAGGUCAAGCUUAGUCAGUACUUAGAUGGGUGACUGCUUGGGAAUACUAGGGGCUGUA